GAUGAACGCUAGCGGCAGGCUUAACACAUGCAAGUCGAGGGGCAGCAUGAGACGGAGAUUCGUCGAAGUCUUGAUGGCGACCGGCGCAAGGGUGCGUAACGCGUGAGCAACUUGCCCGUUUCUGGGGAAUAACCGGUGGAAACGCCGACUAAUACCCCAUAGUAUUGAGUUUAGGCAUCUUUACUCAAUUAAAGAAUUUCGGAAACGGAUAGGCUCGCGUGACAUUAGCUGGAUGGCGGGGUAACGGCCCACCAUGGCGACGAUCAGUAGCCGGAUUGAGAGAUUGAUCGGCCACAUUGGGACUGAGACACGGCCCAGACUCCUACGGGAGGCAGCAGUCGGGAAUAUUGCACAAUGAGGGAAACCUUGAUGCAGCGACGCCGCGUAAAGGAAGAAGGUCUUCGGAUUGUAAACUUUGUCGACAGGGAAGAAGAAAGUGACAGUACCUGUGGAGGAAGCCCCGGCUAACUACGUG
rnacentral:rRNA from 1 species